UGUUUCAUUAUUGGUUUCUCUUGCUUCCUUUUGUACAGAUCAUAAUUUUGACUUUGUUUCGUUAUUGUUUUCUCUACAGGCACUUCAUGUUCACUUCAUCAUCAAAACUUCCAUUGAUGUUCGAUGUAUACUCAUCCAAACUUCCACAUCUAUAAAAUAAAUAUUAAAGCUUCCGCUAUUUUGAAUGGUUUUGUGCCAACAGAGACCAUAUCUCACUGUGUUGCAUUAUUGCUUUCUCUUCUAACACUUGAUGACGUCAUCAAUUCCUUCGAUUCAACUGGCCUCUUCAACAUCCAAACUCCCACCCAUGUAUGAUGUGGCUAUCCACUUCACUGGAGAAGAAAUCUGUAAGAAAUUUAUUUCUCAUCUCGAUUCUGUCCUCUCUGCUGCUGGAUUCACCACUUUCCUUCACCAUGACAAUGCAAUCGAGCCAAUGCAAAGCCAAGAACCUGUUCUCGAUCUUUGUCGGGUAGCAAUUGUUGUUUUCACCAAAACCUAUUCUCAAUCUUCUUGGUGUCUUCAUCAGCUUCAACAAAUUAUUGAAUUGCACGAAAUUUAUUCGCGACAUGUCCUGCCCGUGUAUUACGAAAUUCGGCCAUCUGAUGUACGUCUUCAGAAGGGUGAUUUUGGAAAAGCCUUCAAAGUAACUGCACAACAAACAUUCUCAGCACAACAACUGGAGCAUGGCAUGUCCAUGUGGAGCCACGCACUCACUAAAGCCGCGAAUUUCUAUGGAUGGGACGAGAGCAAUUACAGGAGUGAUGCUGAAUUAGUGGAAAAAAUUGUUAAGAUCGUUUAUAUUUGGACUUUCUGGGAGAAGAAUGCUCACUGUACUUGACGAUGUGAAUGAGAGCGUUCCAUUAUUGGACCUGUGGGAAAGUCGUGCAUGCUUUGGGGACAGAAGCCAUUGAGUGAUUGACAUGACACUAAAAUUGCAUGCAACUGAUAGUGAUUGUUUUGAAUCAAACGCUUUUAAGGAAAUGAAAGGAUUGAAACUGUUGAAACUUCGUUGUGUAAGUCGGUGAAUCUUUUGAGCAUCUUUCUACGAAGCUGAGAUGGAUUAUUGGCAAGGAUUUCCUUUGAAAUAUAUAGCCGUAAACUUUUAUCAAGGAAGUGUAGUUGCGUUAAACUUAAGCUACCAUGAAGUCUUCAAUACUCUGAACAAGAGCAUUUCAGAGGUGAAAACUUUGACUUGUGGGCUACAAAAGUGAAAACUUAUUUCAGAGCUCAAAUUCUAGAGGAUGUAGUGGAAGAUGGAUGUAAUCCAACUCCAUUACCACACAACACAACAAUGGCUCAGAUAACAACACACUUUGUUAUCCACCUCAUUUGAGUUUUGUAACUCGAGUACAUCACAUUCAACUACCCACAGUCUUUUAAGUGAUGAAAGGUUACUAGGUAAUUUCAUCUUGGUUUGGGACAGUGGAAUAUGCACAACUCUUCAAGAGAAGGAAAACCGGUAGCUAUAUCACUUGCAAAAAACCAUUCCUCCCAGCAUGACAGUUCCAUAAAUUUUAGAUGCUUCAGACUUGCAAAUGAUUGAAAAGAAGAAGAGCCUGUGCCAUAGAAAUCAUCUCCAACAUGGUUUAAUGAUUUGAGCCUAGCAAUGGAGAGUAGUUGCAAAGAAGAUAAUUGUCCAAGUGGUGGAAAUGACCAACAAUGAUCGCAGUCACUUAUUCCAACUGGUCAAGUACUUCUCUCUCCAUACGUGAAUCUUCAAUGUUGUAGGUCCAUUCCAAUUCUAACUCCUCAAUUAGCUCCUUCUUUUUCAAAUUACCUUGAAAAACAUCAUUGGCAUCCACGUUUUGUUGUAGGUUUAAUAUGGAAAGUUUUCCUAGUAGGUGUGGAAAAUUUUUCAUUGCUCCAACCUAUAAUCCAUCCUUCAGUCUGCUGACAACAUAGGAAGUCAAAGUUUGGAGACAAUUUAGCUUACUUAAAUUUGAGGGCAUCUCCUUCAACUUGGUUUCACUUAGAUCCAUAUGGCGCAACUUAAUCAAUUUGUUUAUGUCACGGCAAUUCAAGUAGAUAUGAACAACAUGAUAGCAGCAAGGUUUGCAAAUUGUACAGCUUGGUCGCGACAGACUCUGCCAAAUAUGGCCAAAUUUCGUUGAGGGUCGACUUAGACCAAUUCGUUCAAAUUUGGGUCACAGUUGACUUGGCCAAAUUUGCAUAGGGCCGACUGUCGAAUACGACUAGUAAAUCUCAACCUAAACCUUA